rnacentral:ncRNA from 1 species
UUUGUUAGUUUGGUUUUGGCUAAAAAUUUGGCUUUUUUUGAAUUAAUACAUGGUAGUUUAACGUGUGCUUAUGAGAUUUUUCUUUUUCAAAAAAUUUUUUAGUGUGAUGUCUAAAGUGACGCGCUUUAUCUAGCAUAGCUCCAGUAUAAAAUUUUAAAUAAUUAGUGUCAGCUAGAUUUAGUUACGGAUUAAAGGGCUGGUAAAUUUUGUGCCAGCUGCUGCGGUUACACAAAAGGCCCGAGUUAAUUUGUUUGGUUUAAAUUUAGUUAAUUUUUGUUUUGACACUUAGAUCUGUGCUUAUGGGUAAAAUCUGUAGUUAUUGUUGGGUGUUUUUUGUCUAUUUGGUAAAAUGAGGCUAGUUUAGAUUUAGAAAAAAACCGGGAUUAGAUACCCCGCUAUUCUAUAUUUUAAUUUUUUUUAACCUGAGUAUUAAAAGUUUUCUUAAAACUCAAAAAACUUGGCGGUGUGCUAUUCAGCUCAGAGGAGCCUGUUCUUUAAACGAUAUCCCACGUUAUAGUGUACUUUUUUAAUAUAGUGUUAGUUUGUAUAUUUCCGUUGUCAGCAUAUAUAAAAAUAUAUUUUAUUUGCUAAAAAACUUUUGUUUUUACAUCAGGUCAAGGUGCAGCGAAUAAAAAAGUAGUAAUGGGCUACAUUUAUUUAGUUUAUGGUUUUUUUGUUGGAAAACAAAAAAUAAAUUGGAUUUGAUAGUAAUUUUUGAUUAGUGUGUGGUUUUGAAAUUUGCGCUAGUACGUGUACAAAUCGCCCGUCGCUCUUUCCGUGCGAGGAAAGAUAAGUCGUAACAUAGUAAAAGUAGUGGAAACUGCUUUUAAUUU